AGACGAACCGGACAAACGUUAUUCGGAAUUAUUGGGUUUAAAGGGUGCGUAGGCGGCACGAUCAGUUGGGUGUGAAAUCCCUUGGCUCAACCAAGGAACUGCGCCCAAUACUGUCGUGCUUGAGGGAGACAGAGGCGAGCGGAACUGAUGGUGGAGCGGUGAAAUGCGUUGAUAUCAUCAGGAACACCAGUGGCGAAAGCGGCUCGCUGGGUCUCUUCUGACGCUGAGGCACGAAAGCUAGGGUAGCGAACAGGAUUAGAUACCCGAGUAGUCC
rnacentral:rRNA from 1 species